rnacentral:rRNA from 1 species
AGGACGAACGCUGGCGGCGUGCUUAACACAUGCAAGUCACGGGGGCCCGCAAGGGCAACCGGCGAACGGGUGCGUAACACGUGAGCAACCUGCCUUUGUGUGGGGGAUAGCCGGGCUAACGCCCGGGUAAUACCGCAUACGGUCACCGAGAGGAGUCUCUUGGUGAAGAAACCUCCGGGGCACGAAGAGGGGCUCGCGGCCUAUCAGCUAGUUGGCGGGGUAAUGGCCCACCAAGGCGACGACGGGUAGCUGGUCUGAGAGGAUGGCCAGCCACAUUGGGACUGAGAGACGGCCCAGACUCCUACGGGAGGCAGCAGUGGGGAAUCUUGCGCAAUGGCCGAAAGGCUGACGCAGCGACGCCGCGUGUGGGAUGAAGGCAUUCGUGUCGUAAACCGCUUUUACGGGAAGAAGAAUUUGACGGUACCGUCGAUAAGCCCGGCUAACUACGUGCCAGCAGCCGC